rnacentral:misc_RNA from 1 species
GGGAGCUUGAAAUUAUUGGAAAUUUGGGUAUUUAUUUCUGUUACAAACUUUGAAACAAACGAAAUAACUACUGAGUUUGCAUUCUUAGUAUACAACAAUUGGGCGCUUAGGAUACACUACAGUUCCAAAAUUGGUCUUGAUUAUGUACAAUUACAUAUCCAGUGCAUAACAGAAACAAAACAUUACCAAAACCUCAAUUGUCUCGAACACCUAAAAUCGUACCCUGGUCAAGAGAGUAGAGCACCAAACCAUCCACCUCCACACGAUUGGUAGUGAAAAAGCUUAUAGCACAACUACGCUCUUUUGUGUCUUUAAGAAGUUCUCAAUUUGUAUAAGAACCUCUAAAGUAAUUUCAGCAGGUGUAAUAUGACAGACAUCUUUUUCCCUUUUCAAUGCAAUAUUUUCUAGUGAAACCCUGGCACUUGCAUUGGCAUAAUUUUCACCCCUCGUCUCCAUUAAAGUAGUUAACCGCUUCAAAGUCGUAUCAUAAACGUCUCCUGAUUCUUCAUGUAAAAGGGGGCGAGAUUUAGUUCCUUCCGUGGUAAUUCUCUUGGCCAAAGCUUCUAAAGGAACAUCUAACCAAACACUAAUACCCUUGUGCAUAUGCCUCCAAUUAAUGGGACGAACAACUGCACCUCCACCCGUUGAAACAACAAGCCGAUGCAUCAAAGAUAGUUUGUGCAAUACCUCAGUCUCAUUAUCCCUGAAGAAGCUCUCUCCGCGAAGCUCAAAGAUUUCAGCUACAGUAAUUCCACCAACAGCCUGCUCUAUCAGCCUGUCACAGUCAAAAAAGGAAUAUCCCAGUGUUUCUGCCAAAAUCCGGCCCACAGUUGUUUUUCCGCAGCCCAUCAUUCCAACAAGGUAUACACAUCGUCCAUCUAGAUAUUCUUCAACUUCUUCUGCUUUAUUCUUUAAUGUCUCGAUUUCAUCAAUUGAUGCAGAGAAACAUCCUGACUCCAGAACUGAAGCUUGAACAUUUUGAGGAGAACAUGAAACUUUCAACUGUACUCGUCUAUCAGAAUGUGCAGCUUUUCUAGGCUGUAAAUGGCAGGAUACAACUACCCGAUGCCUUGGUUUUUCAUUCCACUUCUCAGAGAAACGCAACA